rnacentral:lncRNA from 1 species
UGUAGUCCCAGCUACUGGGGAGGCUGAGGGAGGAGAAUUGCUUGAACCCAGGAGGCGGAGGCUACAGUGAGCUGAGAUCGCACCAUUGCACUCCAGCCUGGGUGACAGAGCAACACUCCAUCUGAAAAAAAAAAAAGAAAAAGAAAAAGAAAAAGAAAUAUGUUAGGCCAUGUGUCUCUAUAACAGCUAUUGAACUCUGCAUUGUAGAGUGAAAGCAGCCAUAGAUAAUGUGUGAGCAAAUAGGCAUGAUUGCACUCCAAGAAAACUAUGUAUAAAAAACCAUUUGGUAAGCUGAAUUUGGCCUGUGAUACACAGUUUGCUGGCCCUUCACAUAGAAGAUAGAUGGAGGGUAAUUACAUAAAAAGAUUUAAAGACAAAGUAAGCUUUUGUAGUAGUUCAUGCUAUAGUCUUUUUUUUUGUCACCAAUCUGUGGCCUAGUAUCAGUCUAUUAUGAAAAUUUGACCCUUCCAGGGUAAAAGGAAUCAAGUUCAGAAGCUCAAUUUACAGAUUUAAACCUGUAUGUCUUUCUUUGCCAUUAUUUUAUUUUGAUUUGUUUUACUGAAUUUUUUUUAACUUAAAAAAUAACGAUAGUAAUUGGUAGGGUUUCUUUUUCACUGUGAAAGCCAUCAGUUAAGGGGCCAUGUCUAAGUAGGAAAUAUAAAUAUAAAAUAAUAAGUUUGUAUUCCCAGUGUCACUGGAAAGAUAAAGCAAGGGCAGAAAAGAGGUACAGUUAAUAUGGUUUAGUUAUUAUUGAGUUUAAAAAGCUAGGGGACAGAGAAAAUCUCAGGUCUUAAGUUUACAGACUGUGCAUGAGCAUUUACAAUGCUCAUGGGGAAGGAGUAGAAAAUUGUCAGGUCAGGGCUGGGCAUGGUGCCUGUAAUCCUAGCACUUUGGGAGGCCAAGGUGGGCAGAUCAUGAGGUCAGGAGAUGGAGACCAUCCUGGCUAACACGGGUGAAACCCCGUCUCUACUAAAAAUACAAAAAAUUAGCUGGGCGUGGUGGUAGGUGCCUGUAGUUCCAGCUACUCAGGAGGCUGAGGCAGGAGAAUGGCAUGAACCCAGGAGGUGGAGGUUGCAGUGAGCCGAGAUCUCACCACUGCACUCCAGCCUGGGUGACAGAGCGAGACUCCAUCUCAAAAAAAAAAAAAAAAAAAAAAAAAGAAAAGAAAAGAAAAGAAAAGAAAAUUGUCAGGUCAGCAGAGAAGUGCAAAUAGUCAUGGGACAGACCAACCAUUUUCUUUACAUAUUGAGUUCAAUGAAACAUUCAUGUGGGAUAUUUUCUGUAGGUAAUUGGUUUAUACGUAUUUCUAGCUGGAGAUAGAACUCUGGUUGGAGAUGUAGGCUUAGAAUAAUUUUAUUAUAAUUAUUAGGCAAAGCCAUAGAUCUCAAUGAGCUUAUCCAUGAUGCAGAAGAUGUAGAAUAAGAAGAAAGCCAUUGACAAAACCCUGGGAGUAUCAACAUUUCACAGAGUCAGAAGACUUGGUAAAGGAGAUUGAGCAGUGGCUAAUGAAAAGUAGGAGAGGAGUUACUUUUAAAUGUGAGAAUUUCAAGCAGUAAGAUUACUGAAAAGCCAAUUAGAUUUAACUUACAAGUUCUUCAGUGGUAAUCUGUUCAAAAGAAUUAUUUUAGGGUUGUUAAGUAUACUGUUGAUAUGGUUGAUAUUUCUGGUGUCGAAGAAAAAAUCUCCCAAGAUCCUACCUAACUUUUUGUAACUGAAGCAGCCAACAUACCCAGGGUCUGGAAAAUUGUCUAGACUGGUAAGUACACAUGCCAAUAUUUUUCCAGAAUUGUCAAAACCUAAGAGUAAAGUGUGAGGAAAAG